AGAGUUUGAUCCUGGCUCAGAACGAACGCUGGCGGCAGGCUUAACACAUGCAAGUCGAGCGCAUCCUUCGGGGUGAGCGGCAGACGGGUGAGUAACGCGUGGGAACGUACCCUUUGCUACGGAAUAGCUCCGGGAAACUGGAAUUAAUACCGUAUGAGCCCUUCGGGGGAAAGAUUUAUCGGCAAAGGAUCGGCCCGCGUUGGAUUAGCUAGUUGGUGGGGUAAAGGCCUACCAAGGCGACGAUCCAUAGCUGGUCUGAGAGGAUGAUCAGCCACAUUGGGACUGAGACACGGCCCAAACUCCUACGGGAGGCAGCAGUGGGGAAUAUUGGACAAUGGGCGCAAGCCUGAUCCAGCCAUGCCGCGUGAGUGAUGAAGGCCUUAGGGUUGUAAAGCUCUUUCAGUAGGGAAGAUAAUGACGGUACCUACAGAAGAAGCCCCGGCUAACUUCGUGCCAGCAGCCGCGGUAAUACGAAGGGGGCUAGCGUUGUUCGGAAUUACUGGGCGUAAAGCGCACGUAGGCGGACAUUUAAGUCAGGGGUGAAAUCCCGGGGCUCAACCUCGGAACUGCCUUUGAUACUGGGUGUCUUGAGUGUGGAAGAGGUCAGUGGAAUUGCGAGUGUAGAGGUGAAAUUCGUAGAUAUUCGCAGGAACACCAGUGGCGAAGGCGGCUGACUGGUCCACAACUGACGCUGAGGUGCGAAAGCGUGGGGAGCAACAGGAUUAGAUACCCUGGUAGUCCACGCCGUAAACGAUGAAUGUUAGCCGUCGGGCAGUUUACUGUUCGGUGGCGCCGCUAACGCAUUAAACAUUCCGCCUGGGGAGUACGGUCGCAAGAUUA
rnacentral:rRNA from 1 species